GACGAACGCUGGCGGCGUGCUUAACACAUGCAAGUCGAACGGAAAGGCCCUGCUUUUGUGGGGUGCUCGAGUGGCGAACGGGUGAGUAACACGUGAGUAACCUGCCCUUGACUUUGGGAUAACUUCAGGAAACUGGGGCUAAUACCGGAUAGGAGCUCCUGCUGCAUGGUGGGGGUUGGAAAGUUUCGGCGGUUGGGGAUGGACUCGCGGCGUAUCAGCUUGUUGGUGGGGUAGUGGCUUACCAAGGCUUUGACGGGUAGCCGGCCUGAGAGGGUGACCGGCCACAUUGGGAUUGAGAUACGGCACAGACCCCUACGGGAGGGAGCAGUGGGGAAUAUUGUACAAUGGGCGGAAGCCUGAUGCAGCAACGCCGCGUGCGGGAUGACGGCCUUCGGGUUGUAAACCGCUUUCGCUUGUGACGAAGCGUGAGUGACGGUAAUGGGUAAAGAAGCACCGGCUAACUACGUG
rnacentral:rRNA from 1 species